UGAAGAGUUUGAUCCUGGCUCAGGACGAACGCUGGCGGCGUGCCUAACACAUGCAAGUCGAGCGGGGUUGUAUGGAGUAGCUUGCUACACUGUACAAUCUAGCGGCGGACGGGUGAGUAACGCGUGAGCAACCAACCUUGUACAGGGGGAUAACACGU
rnacentral:rRNA from 1 species